rnacentral:rRNA from 1 species
UUUAUGGAGAGUUUGAUCCUGGCUCAGGAUGAACGCUGGCGGCGUGCCUAAUACAUGCAAGUCGAGCGAACGGACGAGAAGCUUGCUUCUCUGAUGUUAGCGGCGGACGGGUGAGUAACACGUGGAUAACCUACCUAUAAGACUGGGAUAACUUCGGGAAACCGGAGCUAAUACCGGAUGAUAUUUUGAACCGCAUGGUUCAAAAGUGAAAGACGGUCUUGCUGUCACUUAUAGAUGGAUCCGCGCUGCAUUAGCUAGUUGGUAAGGUAACGGCUUACCAAGGCAACGAUGCAUAGCCGACCUGAGAGGGUGAUCGGCCACACUGGAACUGAGACACGGUCCAGACUCCUACGGGAGGCAGCAGUAGGGAAUCUUCCGCAAUGGGCGAAAGCCUGACGGAGCAACGCCGCGUGAGUGAUGAAGGUCUUCGGAUCGUAAAACUCUGUUAUUAGGGAAGAACAUAUGUGUAAGUAACUGUGCACAUCUUGACGGUACCUAAUCAGAAAGCCACGGCUAACUACGUGCCAGCAGCCGCGGUAAUACGUAGGUGGCAAGCGUUAUCCGGAAUUAUUGGGCGUAAAGCGCGCGUAGGCGGUUUUUUAAGUCUGAUGUGAAAGCCCACGGCUCAACCGUGGAGGGUCAUUGGAAACUGGAAAACUUGAGUGCAGAAGAGGAAAGUGGAAUUCCAUGUGUAGCGGUGAAAUGCGCAGAGAUAUGGAGGAACACCAGUGGCGAAGGCGACUUUCUGGUCUGUAACUGACGCUGAUGUGCGAAAGCGUGGGGAUCAAACAGGAUUAGAUACCCUGGUAGUCCACGCCGUAAACGAUGAGUGCUAAGUGUUAGGGGUUUCCGCCCCUUAGUGCUGCAGCUAACGCAUUAAGCACUCCGCCUGGGGAGUACGACCGCAAGGUUGAAACUCAAAGGAAUGACGGGGACCCGCACAAGCGGUGGAGCAUGUGGUUUAAUUCGAAGCAACGCGAAGACCUUACCAAAUCUUGACAUCCUUUGACAACUCUAGAGAUAGAGCCUUCCCCUUCGGGGGACAAAGUGACAGGUGGUGCAUGGUUGUCGUCAGCUCGUGUCGUGAGAUGUUGGGUUAAGUCCCGCAACGAGCGCAAACCCUUUAAGCUUAGUUGCCAUCAUUAAGUUGGCACUCUAAGU